rnacentral:rRNA from 1 species
GUGCCAGCAGCCGCGGUAAUACGUAGGGCGCAAGCGUUAUCCGGAAUUAUUGGGCGUAAAGAGCUCGUAGGCGGUUUGUCGCGUCUGCUGUGAAAACGCGGGGCUCAACUCCGCGCCUGCAGUGGGUACGGGCAGACUAGAGUGCGGUAGGGGAGAUUGGAAUUCCUGGUGUAGCGGUGGAAUGCGCAGAUAUCAGGAGGAACACCGAUGGCGAAGGCAGAUCUCUGGGCCGUGACUGACGCUGAGGAGCGAAAGGGUGGGGAGCAAACAGGCUUAGAUACCCUGGUAGUCCACCCCGUAAACGUUGGGAACUAGUUGUGGGGGCCUUUCCACGGUCUCCGUGACGCAGCUAACGCAUUAAGUUCCCCGCCUGGGGAGUACGGCCGCAAGGCUAAAACUCAAAGGAAUUGACGGGGACCCGCACAAGCGGCGGAGCAUGCGGAUUAAUUCGAUGCAACGCGAAGAACCUUACCAAGGCUUGACAUACACCGGAAACGUCCAGAGAUGGUCGCCCCUUUUUGGUCGGUGUACAGGUGGUGCAUGGUUGUCGUCAGCUCGUGUCGUGAGAUGUUGGGUUAAGUCCCGCAACGAGCGCAACCCUCGUUCUAUGUUGCCAGCACGUUAUGGUGGGAACUCAUGGGAUACUGCCGGGGUCAACUCGGAGGAAGGUGGGGAUGACGUCAAAUCAUCAU